rnacentral:misc_RNA from 1 species
UUCACAUUAUAGCUGUCAAAAUAAAUGAUAACAUAAAGUAAGAAUAAAUGUACCACAGUGAAAAUCAAUACACUGGUUUAUAAAACUAGUAAUCAAAUAACAGGAAUCUACAGAUUACAAAGAGUAGCCUAGUGGCUUCGGUAGGAAGCUAGGAAGUUUGAACAGGACUUGUGCUCCCAAAUCUUAGCCUCUGUAAGUGCAGUUAGCUCCCUUAAAACCUCACCCUCAAAUAAAAUCACACCCUUGCCUAUCAUGUGAUCAGCUAACAAAUCAUCCUCCAAUUGCAUAAGAGAGGCCUAUUCUACCUCCCUCUACUCACGGUGUCUUGUGGUGAAGGCAGUCACAGAAGCAGAGAGUGCUGCAAAAGACUGAACCUUUUUGGCAUUGACAGGCAAGAUCUCAACAACCUGUGUCUGAGCAUCUUGGAACGGUGUGUUUGCUACAAUCAGGGUGGACAAAGCAGAAAACAGUAAAGACCGCUGUUCCUCGGUAUGAGAACCAAGCUCUAUGGAUAGCAGAUAGUAUAGUUGGUUCUUGGCUGCUAUGACUGUAUUGUCAGAUAGCCUAGCUACAAGGCGAACACUGGAGUUGCUAUAAAACUGGGCUAGAAAAGAGAAGUCAAUAUCUUGGAGAGGAUCAACUACAUCAACCAAGGGGGCAGCUAACCAAGGGGGCAGCUCUUUGGCCCGAAAUAGCAGAAGAACUAAGGGUAGAGGAAAUCACAGGAGCUAGAGCCAAAGUAGUAAGUACCUCAGGAGAAGCAGGUGAAAGGAUAUCUCCUAGAGAAUCAUCAUCAUCUCCAACAUCUAAUAUCUUCUAUGUAGCAUGACCACUCUGAGAAGCGAAAGAAGUACCACCAAUAGAAGCUUCUACUAGAACAGCUGGACUCGCCUGAGGCUUCCUAGCCUUGGGUACAUGACGGUCAAAGUGCCUAAUGGAAGAUAAUGAUGAUCCUCCUUGUUCUCUCUUUGGAGGGGGCGGAGAAUUUCUAAUUUUGGGCCUGUACCUCUUGAUGCCCUGGUCUUGUUGGAUGGAGGAAGCUGUGACUAGGAAGGAGCACUUUCCCACUUCUUGGAGGGAGGUGUAGGUCUAGAGGAGGCUACCUUCUAGGAUGUAGCAGUAAAGGAAGUGAGUGGUAAAGAACCUCGAAAAAGUAGUAGAGAUUAGUGAAAGAACGAGUAUAACAGGAUAAGAACCAGAAAACAGUAGGUACCUGUGCCCAAAGGUUUGACAACAGCUUCAUGAAACUUGGAAGACCACCAGCUUUGUAGAGUGCGGUAGAAAGGGUCAAUGGCCUCCAUGGGAAUCAUCUAGCAAAUGUCUGGCAGCUGCUCUGGCUUGUAACUGUAUCGAUCCAUGUUUGUUGGAGAUGAUAGAUUGAUCCUAUUGCUAGUGAUUAGGUUAGCACAAAUGAGGAUGCCAGAGGAAACAUCCUAAAUGAAGCCCAAUUGUUGGCACCAAAGGGAAGACAUGCAUAACUCCAGCUCAAGCUUCACUAUUCUUAGACGAGUGUCAAAGGAGGUACCAAUAUGUAGGUGUCGGACAGCCGUAAUGGAGGCUCAAUGGCUAACAACAUCAUCUAUAAAAGUGGCUUUGGAAGAUAAGCCAGGUGGGAAGGACUCAAAGGGCCUCAGUGUCAUUAAAAGGAGUGAAGCUAGAAAAGACCCGAGCAAGUAGUUGAACUAGAAACUUCAGUACCCGGCCUUCAUCCCAGAUGCAGGCCAAAGAAGUAACUCUCCUACCAAAGACACUAUCAAUAGGGAUUGGAAGAGUAUCUGUCAGCUCCGGAAAGUAAGAGAAUAACCACAGCUGUACAAUCCAAAAAGCGCCAUUCACCUUGCUCAAUGGCGCAUCAUCUGAUACUAUGGUAGAUAGAGCUCAGAAAAAAACAGACAAAAACAUGGUACUGUUACGUAUAGCAAAGCUAGAUAUGGGAAAGGAAAUAAUAGGAAUGCAGCUGUAGU